rnacentral:rRNA from 1 species
CCUACGGGAGGCAGCAGUGGGGAAUAUUGCACAAUGGGGGGAACCCUGAUGCAGCAAUGCCGCGUGGGUGAAGAAGCACUCCGGUGCGUAAAGCCCUGUCAGCAGGGAAGAAAAUGACAGUACCUGACCAAGAAGCCCCGGCUAACUACGUGCCAGCAGCCGCGGUAAUACGUAGGUGGCGAGCGUUAUCCGGAAUGAUUGGGCGUAAAGGGUGCGCAGGCGGUCCUGCAAGUCUGGAGUGAAACGCAUGAGCUCAACUCAUGCAUGGCUUUGGAAACUGGAGGACUG